UACGUAGGGGGCAAGCGUUGUCCGGAAUCAUUGGGCGUAAAGCGCGUGUAGGCGGUCCGGUAAGUCGGUUGUGAAAGUCCAGGGCUCAACCCUGGGAUGCCGAUCGAUACUGCCGGACUAGAGUCCGGAAGAGGCGAGUGGAAUUCCCGGUGUAGCGGUGAAAUGCGUAGAUAUUGGGAGGAACACCAGUGGCGAAGGCGGCUCACUGGACCGGAACUGACGCUGAGGCGCGAAAGCGUGGGGAGCAAACAGG
rnacentral:rRNA from 1 species